AUGGCCGACCAUAGGGGCUUGGUUCUACCCGUUCUCAUUUCGAACACGGAAGUCAAGCAGGUCUCCGUUCGUGAUUGUACUGUGUUUACACGGGAACUCACGAAAGUUGGUCACC
rnacentral:rRNA from 1 species